UCCCAGGCACUGAUCCUACUCUAAGGCUGAACUCAGCACGGUGGAAGAUAAGGGCCCAGUGUCUCACAGGGUCAGAUGGUGGGGAUACACAGUGUCAGCUUAGCUGACCAAGGCAGAAGACGUCCUCCCAUGAGUGACCCUGAAGAAAUGCAACAGCGACAUCCCCCUCUUUUGGAAGGGAAAAAGGAUCCCCGCUCCACCCAACUCAAACCAAGUUCAUUUUGCCGUUAAAAGAAAAACAGAGAGGGGCAGAACCUCAGCAGAUGCAAACCAUCCUAGCUCAGCUGAUCCUAACAAAGCUAAGAUCUACUGCUAGAUGUGUGGGGUGCCAAAAGGUGACCGGAAAGUCCCAGCAGUACUGUGAUUUCUACUCAUUCUGAAGAAAUCCAAGGUCCCGCCUUCUGCUGAUCCUGGAUGCCGACAAAGCACAGUAUAAAAAGCACACAGUUGUGUGCGCAAAAGCCAAGGAUCAGCAGGCAAACCUCUCCAGAAUGGACGGGUCUCACCUAGCCCAUUUGCUAAUAAAUGAACCUUUUGAAAUCGCUGGGUUUAUUGGAACAUCUCGGCCAUGAACAGCAUCAAAAAAUAAA